AGGAUGAACGCUGGCGGCGUGCUUAACACAUGCAAGUCGAACGAUGAAGGCUGGAGCUUGCUCUGGCUGGAUUAGUGGCGAACGGGUGAGUAACACGUGAGUAACCUGCCCCAGACUCUGGGAUAAGCGCUGGAAACGGCGUCUAAUACCGGAUACGAGCUUCCACCGCAUGGUGAGGAGCUGGAAAGAAUUUCGGUCUGGGAUGGACUCGCGGCCUAUCAGCUUGUUGGUGAGGUAAUGGCUCACCAAGGCGACGACGGGUAGCCGGCCUGAGAGGGUGACCGGCCACGACUGGGACUGAGACACGGCCAGACUCCGUACGGGAGCAGCAGGUAGGAAAUAGUUGACAACAAGUGGGACGCA
rnacentral:rRNA from 1 species